rnacentral:rRNA from 1 species
UACGGAGGGUGCAAGCGUUAUCCGGAUUUACUGGGCUUAAAGGGUGUGUAGGCGGGCCAUUAAGUCAGGGGUGAAAUCCCGGAGCUCAACUCCGGAACUGCCUUUGAUACUAUUGGUCUUGAAUGUUGUUGAGGUGGGCGGAACGGGUCAUGUAGCGGUGAAAUGCAUAGAUAUGACCCGGAACACCGAUUGCGAAGGCAGCCCGCUAAGCAACUAUUGACGCUGAGGCACGAAAGCGUGGGGAUCAAACAGG